rnacentral:rRNA from 1 species
UACGGGGGGGGCAAGCGUUGUUCGGAAUUACUGGGCGUAAAGGGCUCGUAGGUGGCCAACUAAGUCGGACGUGAAAUCCCUCGGCUUAACCGGGGAACUGCGUCCGAUACUGGUUGGCUUGAGUUUGGGAGAGGGAUGCGGAAUUCCAGGUGUAGCGGUGAAAUGCGUAGAUAUCUGGAGGAACACCGGUGGCGAAGGCGGCAUCCUGGACCAACACUGACGCUGAGUGAGCGAAAGCCAGGGGAGCAAACGGG